AGUCGAACGGAAAGGCCCUGCUUGCAGGGUACUCGAGUGGCGAACGGGUGAGUAACACGUGGGUGAUCUGCCCUGCACUUCGGGAUAAGCUUGGGAAACUGGGUCUAAUACCGGAUAGGACCGCACUUUAGUUGUGUGUGGUGGAAAGUUUUUUCGGUGUAGGAUGAGCUCGCGGCCUAUCAGCUUGUUGGUGGGGUAAUGGCCUACCAAGGCGGCGACGGGUAGCCGGCCUGAGAGGGUGUACGGCCACAUUGGGACUGAGAUACGGCCCAGACUCCUACGGGAGGCAGCAGUGGGGAAUAUUGCACAAUGGGCGCAAGCCUGAUGCAGCGACGCCGCGUGGGGGAUGACGGCCUUCGUGUUGUAAACUCCUUUCGCCAGGGACGAAGCGUUUUGUGACGGUACCUGGAGAAGAAGCACCGGCUAACUACGUGCCAGCAGCCGCGGUAAUACGUAGGGUGCAAGCGUUGUCCGGAAUUACUGGGCGUAAAGAGCUCGUAGGUGGUUUGUCACGUCGUCUGUGAAAUUCCACAGCUUAACUGUGGGCGUGCAGGCGAUACGGGCUGACUUGAGUACUGUAGGGGUAACUGGAAUUCCUGGUGUAGCGGUGAAAUGCGC
rnacentral:rRNA from 1 species